rnacentral:rRNA from 1 species
AUUGAACGCUGGCGGCAUGCCUUACACAUGCAAGUCGAACGGCAGCACGGGUGCUUGCACCUGGUGGCGAGUGGCGAACGGGUGAGUAAUACAUCGGAACAUGUCCUGUAGUGGGGGAUAGCCCGGCGAAAGCCGGAUUAAUACCGCAUACGAUCUACGGAUGGAAGCGGGGGACCUUCGGGCCUCGCGCUAUAGGGUUGGCCGAUAGCUGAUUAGCUAGUUGGUGGGGUAAAGGCCUACCAAGGCGACGAUCAGUAGCUGGUCUGAGAGGGCGACCAGCCACACUGGGACUGAGACACGGCCCAGACUCCUACGGGAGGCAGCAGUGGGGAAUUUUGGACAAUGGGCGAAAGCCUGAUCCAGCAAUGCCGCGUGUGUGAAGAAGGCCUUCGGGUUGUAAAGCACUUUUGUCCGGAAAGAAAUCCUUGGCUCUAAUACAGUCGGGGGAUGACGGUACCGGAAGAAUAAGCACCGGCUAACUACGUG